rnacentral:lncRNA from 1 species
CUGACUUCCUUUAUUAUAAAUUUACUAUUGAGCCUUUACGUCGAUAUCGCGUUUCCGUUUUUAAGAAAAUUUCAGAAAAAAAUAGAUUUUAGUAUUAAAAUCACAUAACAAAAGAUCUUCAAAUAAUAACAAUCACAUAAUUACUAAUAAUAAUAGAGGUUAUACGAUUAAAUUCAAUGUAAAACUCGAAUACAAUACCUAUCCCUCUGGAUAAAAUAAAAACCCUAAAGCAACAAGGACGAGGGAACUCUAUAAAAACAACAGGAAUCACAAGUAAAUCUACGAAUCGUCUGCAGCUUCUUACUGAAUCUCCGAACCUGUGUCACUAAAAGGGUGGAAGAUUUGGGGUGAGAACAAACCACACAUUCUCAGUAGGGAAUGGGAAUGCCGUAAAAGUAAUGAAUUUAAUGCAAAUAAUUAACUUACUUAGUAAAACUAUUUUGUUAAACUUUUGAAAAUACUUUUAUUUCUACUUUAGAUAAAUAAUUACUUUUCUUUAGAUUUCUAAACUCAAAACAAAUUUUAAAUAUAAAACUGGUCACAUUUUCUGUCUCUCAGCCACAUAGUUAAUCCUCAGUCAAAUGUCAACUCGUAAUCACUUUAAUACACUCACAAACAAGUAGCGCAAGCAAGAGAUUCAAUUCAAUGUACAAGCAAGUCACAACAAGACAAACAAUACAAUCACAAAGUAGUAAGACAAGCAAGUGCAAUCAAAUGCAAAUGUGCAAACAACAUGAUGCAUGUCUAUCCCUAACGCAGGCCAUGAGCUCAUGUGUCGGUUGCCUACCCGCUCCCGACAUUACCCGGGCACAAGUCCCAGAUAUGGCUUUCCAGAUGCAUCAGUGUGCUUAUAAGUCGUACGGCUAGGCCGCAUCAGUGUGAAUUUCCAAAUCAAUAAGCGUACAUCUGGAAAACAGUUCUCAGUGUGUGGGCGUCCCCACUUUACAUUUGGCACUAAGGCCCAAACAAUGUCACAUCUGCUCUCCUGUGGCAGACACUUCAUUAAUUAAUAUAUUCUUUAAAUCCUUGUUCUCUGCUCUCCUGUGGCAGAGAUUCCUUUUCUUAAAAAAACCAAGCUCAAAACAACACUUAGAACAAAAUCUCUCCUUACAAAACUGGAUUUAAAACAUUAUGUUUUUCUUAAU